rnacentral:rRNA from 1 species
UAUGCUUAGCCUUAAACCCAGAUGCACCCUUACAUUUUCAUCCGCCAGGGUACUACAAGCGCAGCUUAAAACCCAAAGGACUUGGCGGUGCCUCAGACCCACCUAGAGGAGCCUGUUCUAAAACCGAUAACCCCCGUUAAACCUCACCACUUCUUGUUUCUACCGCCUAUAUACCGCCGUCGUCAGCUUACCCUGUGAAGGCCUAGCAGUAAGCAAAACGGGCCCGCCCAAAAACGUCAGGUCGAGGUGUAGCGUACGAAGUGGGAAGAAAUGGGCUACAUUUUCUACAAUAGAAUAUUACGGACGGCGCUCUGAAACUGGCGCCUAAAGGUGGAUUUAGUAGUAAAAAACAAAUAGAGAGUCUUUUUGAAUUAGGCUCUGAGGCGC